rnacentral:rRNA from 1 species
UGCGACUAGGGGGUCAUCCCGACUUACCAACUCGCUGCAAACUGCGAAUACCGAAGAAUGUUAUCACGGGAGACACACGGCGGUUGCUAACGUCCGUCGUGAAGAGGGAAACAACCCAGACCGCCAGCUAAGGUCCCAAAGUCAUGGUUAAGUGGGAAACUAAGUGGGAAGGCUCAGACAGCCAGGAUGUUGGCUUAGAAGCAGCCAUCAUUUAAAGAAAGCGUAAUAGCUC